rnacentral:lncRNA from 1 species
AUGUGGUUUUGUGGGGGAAAUAUUGGAGGUAGGUGGAUGAUUGGACUGCAUGAUCUUGGAGUGUUGGGGGCUUUUCCUGUCAUUGUGGCCCCGGACCAAGAGCCGCGGUGGGAGGCUUUGUCAUAUAAUGUCCUGGGACAUUUACGGCGUACUGUCACUGACCAUGGCAUAGGUGCCCCAUAUACUAUCAAUUUGAUUCAAUCCAUAUGCGAUAGCUCUGUUCUCACGCCGCAUGAUUUCAAAAUGAUGUGUCGCCUUAUUAUGACUGAUAUGCAGUAUACUGUAUGGGAAUCUAAGUGGAGGGGACUGGCAGAGAUUCAGGCAACUGAGAACCUGAUGCUGCCGCGGAGAAACCUGCUUCGGACUGUGGACGUGAGUGCUUUGAUGGGGGAGGGAGAUUUCUCCACUCCAGCUCGACAGGCGCGAAUUGCUGUGGAAGGGCUGCAGCAAGUUGGGCAUUUGGCAAUGUGUGCUCUCGGGACUGUGCCAGAGGCUGGAAACCUGAAAGCAGAAUCGCCUCUGCUCGACCUUUUGUUUUCUCCAACUAUGCUCUUUCAGUCGUGGGCACUAAUAGUGAUAGGUUUGAAAGACUGUUUCUUUAACAUCCCAUUGUGCCCUCAGGAUGCCCCUCGCUUUGCAUUCUCUGUUCCUUCCAUUAACGCUGCCGAACUGCAUCGUCGUUAUCACGGGACUGUGCUGCCACAGGGAGUGAUACAGGCAGCGACCGCAGCAGGGCAAAAAAUUGCUGAAGAUAAGAUUCCAAAGACACCUCCUUGCUUAUACUUGGGCUGGAAGAUCUCACAACAGAAUAUUCAGCCACAGACUCUGACAAUAGGAACAAAGAUCAAUACACUGAAAGCUAGAACAGCUCUGAAUACAGCUGUUACAAAGACGACUCAACAAGCAGCACACAGCAGAAAGCUACAUCAGCCUAUUAAUGUUUUUGUUAUUGACUACUUGUUGCCGGUUUCUAAACUGUCAUUAACCCCCCUUGCAGGUGGGUGCUCUUACUGUUUUUACAGAUGGAUCUGGCAGGACUGGCCAUGCAGGGAUAGUAUGGAGGAAUAG